rnacentral:rRNA from 1 species
CAUUGUUGGAGAGUUUGAUCCUGGCUCAGGACGAACGCUGGCGGCGUGCUUAACACAUGCAAGUCGAACGCUGAAGCCGUCUUCGGGCGGUGGAUGAGUGGCGAACGGGUGAGUAACACGUGGGUAAUCUGCCCUGUACUCUGGGAUAAGCCUGGGAAACUGGGUCUAAUACCGGAUAGGACACGCUACCGCAUGGUGGUGUGUGGAAAGCUUC